GGCGGCAGGCUUAACACAUGCAAGUCGAGCGGUAACAGGGGGUGCUUGCACCCCGCUGACNAGCGGCGGACGGGUGAGUAAUGCAUAGGAAACUGCCCAGUAGUGGGGGAUAGCCCGGGGAAACCCGGAUUAAUACCGCGUACGCCCUUCGGGGGAAAGCAGGGGCUCUUCGGACCUUGCGCUAUUGGAUGUGCCUAUGUCGGAUUAGCUAGUUGGUGGGGUAAAGGCCUACCAAGGCGACGAUCCGUGGCUGGUCUGAGAGGAUGAUCAGCCACAUCGGGACUGAGACACGGCCCGAACUCCUACGGGAGGCAGCAGUGGGGAAUAUUGGACAAUGGGGGCAACCCUGAUCCAGCCAUGCCGCGNUGUUGUGAAGAAAGGCUUUCGGGNUUGUUAAAGCCACUUUCAGUAAGGAAGGAAAGGCNUUGAAGGGUUAAAUA
rnacentral:rRNA from 1 species